UGGUGCAGAAGUCCAGGACGUAAUGGAGU
rnacentral:piRNA from 1 species